GGCGGAGACGUGCCGAGGUGUGAGCGCUGCCCUGGGUGCGGGUGGCACAGCGAGAUGCGGAUGCGAGCAGGGCUGAGCGUAUUGAGUUCUGGACAUACAGAAAUGGAGCUUCAGCAGAUGGUUACUAACAUCAGAAGUGCAAAAAUUAUCUUCUGGAAAGAACACAGCUCUGCAACAGCUGCCUCUUUCAGCGUGGAAAUAAAGGAUCUCUGUGCGGGGUGUUACUCAAUCCAUUGAGUGGUAGUGACUGGAACAAUCUGAAGUGGG
rnacentral:lncRNA from 1 species